rnacentral:rRNA from 1 species
CUUUACUGUAGCUUUGCAUUGGACUUUGAACCGAUCUGUGUAGGAUAGGUGGGAGGCUAUGAAACCGGGACGCUAGUUUCGGUGGAGCCAACCUUGAAAUACCACCCUGGUUUGUUUGAGGUUCUAACCAUGGUCUGUGAAUCCAGAUCUGGGACCGUGCAUGGUAGGCAGUUUGACUGGGGCGGUCUCCUCCCAAAAGGUAACGGAGGAGUACGAAGGUACGCUAGGUACGGUCGGACAUCGUGCUAAUAGUGCAAUGGCAUAAGCGUGCUUGACUGCGAGACCCACAAGUCGAGCAGGUGCGAAAGCAGGUCAUAGUGAUCCGGUGGUUCUGUAUGGAAGGGCCAUCGCUCAACGGAUAAAAGGUA